AGAAGCACCGGCUAACUCCGUGCCAGCAGCCGCGGUAAUACGGAGGGUGCAAGCGUUAAUCGGAAUUACUGGGCGUAAAGCGCACGCAGGCGGUCUGUCAAGUCGGAUGUGAAAUCCCCGGGCUCAACCUGGGAACUGCAUUCGAAACUGGCAGGCUAGAGUCUUGUAGAGGGGGGUAGAAUUCCAGGUGUAGCGGUGAAAUGCGUAGAGAUCUGGAGGAAUACCGGUGGC
rnacentral:rRNA from 1 species